CCUACGGGGGGCUGCAGUGGGGAAUAUUGCACAAUGGGCGCAAGCCUGAUGCAGCCAUGCCGCGUGUGUGAAGAAGGCCUUCGGGUUGUAAAGCACUUUCAGCGGGGAGGAAGGCGAUGAGGUUAAUAACCUCAUCGAUUGACGUUACCCGCAGAAGAAGCACCGGCUAACUCCGUGCCAGCAGCCGCGGUAAUACGGAGGGUGCAAGCGUUAAUCGGAAUUACUGGGCGUAAAGCGCACGCAGGCGGUCUGUCAAGUCGGAUGUGAAAUCCCCGGGCUCAACCUGGGAACUGCAUUCGAAACUGGCAGGCUAGAGUCUUGUAGAGGGGGGUAGAAUUCCAGGUGUAGCGGUGAAAUGCGUAGAGAUCUGGAGGAAUACCGGUGGCGAAGGCGGCCCCCUGGACAAAGACUGACGCUCAGGUGCGAAAGCGUGGGGAGCAAACAGGAUUAGAUACCCGUGUAGUC
rnacentral:rRNA from 1 species